ACGAACGCUGGCGGCGUGCUUAACACAUGCAAGUCGAACGGUAAGGCCCCUUCGGGGGUCCACGAGUGGCGAACGGGUGAGUAACACGUGAGCAACCUGCCCUUGACUCUGGAAUAACAGUUGGAAACAGCUGCUAAUACUGGAUAUUCAUCGUCUCCUUCCUGGGGGGUGGUGGAAAGCUCCGGCGGUCAGGGAUGGGCUCGCGGCCUAUCAGCUUGUUGGUGAGGUAAUGGCUCACCAAGGCUUCGACGGGUAGCCGGCCUGAGAGGGCGACCGGCCACACUGGGACUGAGAUACGGCCCAGACUCCUACGGGAGGCAGCAGUGGGGAAUAUUGCACAAUGGGCGCAAGCCUGAUGCAGCAACGCCGCGUGCGGGAUGACGGCCUUCGGGUUGUAAACCGCUUUCAGUAGGGACGAAGGGUGACUGACGGUACCUACAGAAGAAGGACCGGCUAACUACGUG
rnacentral:rRNA from 1 species